rnacentral:lncRNA from 1 species
AACCGCCACCGGCAUCACCUGGGCCGCCACGCCGCAGUGCCCGGCCUGCUGUCCCGGAGCCGGGAGCUUCUAGCCAUUCCACCAUGACAACAAAGCGAUUAAGAUGUUUUCCAUCUACUGAAUACCUUUUUAAAUUGCGAUAUUUUAUGGUCCGGGUUCUAAAACGUCUUAUUUGCAGACUAUUUUGUGUUUGAUUUAAUCUAUAACCGAAAACAUAAUGUAUUAAGUGAAUACAUAUUUGCUCAGCUGAUAAG